AAAUUGAAGAGUUUGAUCAUGGCUCAGAUUGAACGCUGGCGGCAGGCCUAACACAUGCAAGUCGAACGGUAACAGGAAGCAGCUUGCUGCUUCGCUGACGAGUGGCGGACGGGUGAGUAAUGUCUGGGAAACUGCCUGAUGGAGGGGGAUAACUACUGGAAACGGUGGCUAAUACCGCAUAACGUCGCAAGACCAAAGAGGGGGACCUUCGGGCCUCUUGCCAUCAGAUGUGCCCAGAUGGGAUUAGCUUGUUGGUGAGGUAACGGCUCACCAAGGCGACGAUCCCUAGCUGGUCUGAGAGGAUGACCAGCCACACUGGAACUGAGACACGGUCCAGACUCCUACGGGAGGCAGCAGUGGGGAAUAUUGCACAAUGGGCGCAAGCCUGAUGCAGCCAUGCCGCGUGUAUGAAGAAGGCCUUCGGGUUGUAAAGUACUUUCAGCGGGGAGGAAGGUGUUGUGGUUAAUAACCACAGCAAUUGACGUUACCCGCAGAAGAAGCACC
rnacentral:rRNA from 1 species